rnacentral:piRNA from 8 species
GGGGUUUCGUACGUAGCAGAGCAGCU